CUCCUCUCAGCUCCUUCGUCUUUCAAUAACACGUUCCUCUUCGAAGAGAAAACCUAAUCUUGAACCCUUCCUCUCCAUCAUUCGAUUAUCCUUAAUCUUUUUUCAAUUUUAACUUUCUAUGAUCCACUUUCUUUCGUUUUCAAUCGAUAUCCAACAAUAAGUCAUUCAAGUUCAAACCCUAACAAUGAUUUGAAGUUAGGAUUUCAGUAUCAAUAUAGAACCCUAACAAUGAAUAAUAACAAUAAUUUGAACCUUCAUUUUCGCUUUGCUCUGUCGCAAAUCCGUAAUCUAUAGUUCCGUAAUCAGAUGUUUACAAAAUCUACCAUUCUGCUGCUCCAUUCUGUUACUCAGCGUUCCGUAGUUCCACAAUUGGCCAACUUCAAGUUGUAGUUGUGUUGCUUUUUUGCUUCGGUAGCAACUACCUUUUCUUAUAGGCAAGGAGGUUGGAUACAUUCUUUUGGUUUGUUGGUUAGACAUUUGCAGGUUGCGAUCGUGGUGGAAAAAAUUGCAAAUGUGUUGUAUUAAAGCCAUCAUUGCUUAACAAAUGCUCUGUUUUAUAACUUAAUAUUAAAUAUGGCUCAAAUGUUACUAGUAUAAGAAUAAAGUGGCAUUUGGUGACAUAUGGUAUUUGGAAGAAUGACUGGAUUUAUGAUAUUUGAACAUAACUUGCUGACACAUGCUAUAUUGUUAUUCUAUUGACAUGUUGGAUA